GAGUUUGAUCCUGGCUCAGAUUGAACGCUGGCGGCGUGCCUAACACAUGCAAGUCGAGCGGUAGCAGAUGUAGCAAUACAUGCUGACGAGCGGCGGACGGGUGAGUAACGCUUGGGAAUCUGCCUACUAGUGGGGGACAACCCGGGGAAACUCGGGCUAAUACCGCAUAAGCACUACGGKGGAAAGCCGGGGACCGCAAGGCCUGGCGCUAGUAGAUGAGCCCAAGUCGGAUUAGCUAGUUGGUGAGGUAAUGGCUCACCAAGGCUUCGAUCCGUAACUGGUCUGAGAGGACGACCAGUCACGCCGGAACUGAGACACGGUCCGGACUCCUACGGGAGGCAGCAGUGGGGAAUAUUGGACAAUGGGCGAAAGCCUGAUCCAGCGACGCCGCGUGGGUGAACAAGGCCUGCGGGUUGUAAAGCCCUUUCGGUGGGGAAGAAAAGCCUCGUUCUAACACAGCGGGGUCUUGACGUAACCCAUAAAAGAAGCACCGGCUAACUCUGUGCCAGCAGCCGCGGUAAUACA
rnacentral:rRNA from 1 species